CUUCCAACCAAGUGAGUUUCCUCAGAAAUUUUUGGAGAUUUGGAGCGACCUUUGUUGAUGAUGUGACAGGUUGCCUGGUUGUCUGAGUAACAACGAACUGACAUAUUUGCCCAUAAAUGACCCCAUGCUACAGCAGCCGCCACGAUGGGAUAGAUUUCAAAGAGAGCUGAGGUAGUGGAAAAACCUUCCAAAUCCUGAACUGCUGUAGGCCAGCUACCCCAAAUCCAUUCGCUCCCAAAAUUGCUGCAAAACCUGUGGUAGAUGCCGCAUCUGACCAAAUGGUAGGUGAUGAGUCAGUCAAUUGAGGGAGGAACAUACUUUUACCAUUCCAAGUGGUUAAAAAUUUCUUCCACAUGCGUAAGUCUGCCGUAGCUUGGGUAUCUAAGGACAACCUGUGUGUGUCGUGUAGGAAGCGUUGAAAAAGAUACAAGAGUCGUGAUAUGAAGGAGCGGCCUUGAGGUAUGACACACAUGGCAAAAUUUAGUGACCCCAGCAGGGACUGUAGCUCUUUGCGGUUGCAAGUACCGAGCUGAAGGUAGCAGUUGAUGUAGGUAAGAAUGUUCUCUAUCUUGUCGUGUGGUAGGCUUGCUUGCAUUGUGGUUGAAUCUAAUUGAAUACCCAGGAAAGUGCUAAUCGUGUCUGGCCCCUCCGUUUUCUUAGGGGAGAUUGGGACACCUAGUUGCUCGAAUAGCUUGGUGGUAGCUUUGAGGCUACUAGGAGGGGAAGUAUUUUCCUCGACCAGUAAGUAGUCAUUCAGGUAAUGUAAUACCGUAGGGCAUCUGGCUAUGUUCAAUAGUAACCAGCACAAUGCUUCGGCAAAUGUGUCGAAAAUAGCUGGGCUACUUUUGGAC